AGUGGACGCUGGCGGUAGGCCUAACACAUGCAAGUCGAACGGCAGCACAGUAAGAGCUUGCUCUUACGGGUGGCGAGUGGCGGACGGGUGAGGAAUACAUCGGAAUCUACUUUUUCGUGGGGGAUAACGUAGGGAAACUUACGCUAAUACCGCAUACGACCUACGGGUGAAAGCAGGGGAUCUUCGGACCUUGCGCGAUUGAAUGAGUCGAUGUCGGAUUAGCUAGUUGGCGGGGUAAAGGCCCACCAAGGCGACGAUCCGUAGCUGGUCUGAGAGGAUGAUCAGCCACACUGGAACUGAGACACGGUCCAGACUCCUACGGGAGGCAGCAGUGGGGAAUAUUGGACAAUGGGCGCAAGCCUGAUCCAGCCAUACCGCGUGGGUGAGGAAGGCCUUCGGGUUGUAAAGCCCUUUUGUUGGGAAAGAAAAGCAGCAGGUUAAAACCCCGCUGUUCUGACGGUAGCCAAAGAAUAAGCACCGGCUAACUUCGUG
rnacentral:rRNA from 1 species